rnacentral:rRNA from 1 species
UACGAGGGGGGCGAGCGUUGUUCGGAAUUAUUGGGCGUAAAGGGUGCGUAGGCGGUUUGGUAAGUCUCGUGUGAAAUCUCCGGGCUCAACUCGGAGCCUGCACGAGAAACUGCCGGGCUUGAGUGUGGGAGAGGUGAGUGGAAUUCCUGGUGUAGCGGUGAAAUGCGUAGAUAUCGGGAGGAACACCUGUGGCGAAAGCGGCUCACUGGACCAUAACUGACGCUGAUGCACGAAAGCUGGGGGAGCAAACAGG